AGAUUCGAGACGUAUGCCUCGCCAAUCUUAACUCUCGCCAUCGUCUAAAAUUGUCAAUGCGGUUUCUUCAAACCCUUUCACAAUCAAAUUCCAAAACACUUAAUUCCUAUUUUAACUUUUUUUCAAUAAAGAUGGAAAUGGAACAUGGCGUAUGCCGUGCACUCCUUAGACUAGGAUUCGAGAUGUAUAUCUCGCUCAUCCAAGUUCUCGCCAUCACUCAAAAUACAUCCAACCAAUCAAACUUUUUCUCGCCGCCGUGCGAUUAAUCAAAACCCUUUUUAAAUGAAAGAUAUAUUGUCUUAAGUGAUACAAAACAAUGUUUCGGCCACGAUUGUUGAGUAGAGAUAAAUGACGCUUUUCCGAAUGUAGAUCUAUAAAUCCGUUUGAUGUGUGGUAUGCGUCCACUCCUCAUCUGUUUUGGGUAAAACGAUGUUUUCGUCGAUUAAUACAAUACAGCUUUCGCUAAAAUCGACCAACAAACAAACAUUUUUCUACCCAGAACUACGUAAGCCUUGAUUUCUCUUUUGAGAUACGUAGGAG
rnacentral:lncRNA from 1 species